GAGACAUGAGCUUAUUGUCAAGGAAGAUAAGCUUGUAUCAAGGCUGUCUACCUUAUGGUAGUACUUUUUAAUCUUAUGAUCUAGAGGGUCACCCGCAGCCUUCCCACCACGAUGAAGAUACACAACAAGCAAGUGAAGAUGAAACUCAACCCGGGGAUGAAACUGAAACCAUGGUUAACGUCAAAGAGAAAGACAACAACAAACCACUCCUCGAAGAAGUUACUAUCAUUGGUGCUGAUUAGGAAGAAGAAACAUAAGAUGACGAUGGACAGUUGUAUAAUGGAAUGAAGUGUUUGUUCGUGUUUGUGAUAUUUUGAGUUUAGAAAUCUUUGGAAAGUUACAUUUUUUGUGUUGAAUUAGUGAUGCAGUGGAAAGUAUAAGUAUGGGGAGGAGGUUCUGUGCAUUGCCAACAUUUUGGGUGAAAAUCUGAAGGAAGAAGAGAAGAGGAGGGCAUCAACAUGGAGAUUGAGAUGACCGAAUUGGAGAAAAAGUAUUGAUAUAUUUUGAAAGUUUUGUGAAAGAAAUGGUACAAAGGUAUGAAACAAGGAGAAAACUCUUCAAGUUUUUGCUUUAUGUGUGUGGUUCUUCACAGUUUGGGUAAACCGUCCGAGUUAUGGGAAAAAAACGUUGUUGUUUGCCUUGGCUGGAAAGUUCCAUAAGGAACCUAGGGUUGAUUUCAAGGUGAUGAGUUGAUGACAAACGAAAAGGAAAUUGCAGUGAAACGAUGGUUAUUAACAGAUUACUGUAGAAAAGGAUAUCGAGAUGAUGAAAGCGAGAUGUAACGAUCACAAGAACAAGUUUUGCUCCAAACCCAUUGUUGUUGCGACAUAAAAGAUUGAUACUUAAGGAAAGAAGUUCUUCAAGCUGUGUUGAAAGAAACUGUAGAUUUGGAAAGUAUUCCCAUUGAAGAAGUAUUUGAGAAUUUGAGAUGUAGUAAAGAUGGUCUCACCACUUUAAAGCCUAUAACAAGCUUGAAGAAAAUAAGGAGAGCAAAUUAUUGAAAUAUUUAGUGUUUAUGUGGAAUCUACUCUCAUGGGUGAUGGAAGCUGCUGCUAUAAUAGCAAAUUGCUCUUGCUAAUGGAAGGAAUUAUUGUUCCAGGGAAAGCCUCCCGACUCGCAAGAUUUUGGGGGAAUUAUUCUUUUGCUUUUUGAUAAGUUCUGUGAUUAGUUUUGUGGAAGAAAACAAUGCAGGCAAUGCUGCUGUAGCUCUUAUGGCUACUCUGGCCCCUGAAAGCAUAGAUUUAAAGAUAGAAAAUGGAAUGAAGAUAUAUGAUGCUUCAAUUUAGUUCCGGGGGAUGUGAUUAGUAUCAAAUUUGGAGAUCUUAUUCAGGCGGAUGCUUGUCUGCUUCUGCUUGGUGGUGAUCCUUUGAAGAUUGACCAGGAAGUAAAGAGGAGACAUUUUUUUUUACUGGCAAGGAUGGUUAGACUUGGACUGCGAUGAUGAUUCAUGAGCGUCAAUGUGGAAAUUGCAGCAAUUUUUUGGUGCAGAAUUGAAGCAGUUUUUGGUGCAGAUUUAUGGACUGUUUCAAGCUGAAUUGGUGCAGAACUGCAGCAGUUAAGUAUUAUAAUGGAUGAACAAGUGAACAUGGUUUUGGAGGUGUGUAUCAGGCUAUGCUAAGGAAAACAGGUGGUUCGGGUUAGAACAUUGAUGUUGCUGUCAAGCAACUUAGCAAGAAGGGUUUGCAGGUUUAUUUUCUUUUUUUAUUAUUGCAUUUUCUGGAAUACAAACUGGACAAACUUAUGGUCAAUUUUACUUAUGGUUGUUGCAGGCUAUGAUAAGUUGUUGCUGUCAAACAACUUAUCAUGCUUAUUUUACUUAUGGUCAAUUUGUAAAAAUUGGAAAUGGAAUUGGUUAGCUUUAGCUGAGAGUAUUAAAAUUGGAAGUAUAGUAAGCUGUCAGCAUACAUGUCCAAAAUCUGUUUUAUGCGGUUAACAAAAUAGUGGCUAACAGAUUUUGUAAAAUGUAAUGGUUUGCUGGUGGGGGAUAGAUUGGAUGAUAUGUGGAGUAAAAUUGUAUAUUGCACUUGGCAUGGAAGAAUGUCAUGAUAUUUUUUAUGAAAAUGGGUUUUAUAGUGGAGGUUUGACUUUGUUAAGUCAAAGUUACCUUGGACUUUUCCAUAAAAACUAAAAGAGGACUGGACUAAAGAAUGGGCUCAAGUGAAUGAUUUCAUCGUUUUUGGAGCAGAUUUACAAGGCAAUAAAAUAGUGCAAAUGUGAAAUUGUUUGAAGCUACAAGAUUUACAUCAAACUAUCAAUGUUGAAUGCCUUUUUACCCAAAUUUAAUUAUUGUUGAAGCUACAGUAUCUUAGUUGAAUUGGGCUCAUAGCUUUUGUUUUGUAAUAAUUUUUUUAAGCAAUAAAUUUCCAAGUGCCUUUUUACCCAAA